GAGAGGAAACAGAGACCCCUCCUUUCUGUCCUGCAGACGCUCUUGUCUGAUAUGGAGCGGAGAUGGACAGCUUGUAUGCUGUGAUCUAGUGUGCAGACUGCUGCCACUAGAUGACUGCACACGAGUUGAGACGUCACGCUGCCUAAGGAUCUCGAUGCUUGCGUUUAUUAUUAUUUUAUUUUGAGGAGGAGAGGAGGAGAACCCAACUGCCAAGGGAUUCGGGCACUCGGGUCCACUGCCCUGUUCUAGUGCAUUCUCUGGCAACACUGGAUCUCUGGCCGGGGUCCAGUGGACCUGCAGUGAACAGCGCCAGGUCUAGGACCCGCUGACAAAGCACCAGAAAACUAGAAGCAACCAAACAAAUCACACAAACAAGAAAACUGAAGCCGACUACUACCCUUAAA